CAGCCGCCACGGUAAUACGGAGGGUGCAAGCGUUAAUCGGAAUUACUGGGCGUAAAGCGCACGCAGGCGGUCCGUCAAGUCAGAUGUGAAAUCCCCGGGCUUAACCUGGGAACUGCAUUUGAAACUGGCAGGCUAGAGUCUUGUAGAGGGGGGUAGAAUUCCAGGUGUAGCGGUGAAAUGCGUAGAGAUCUGGAGGAAUACCGGUGGCGAAGGCGGCCCCCUGGACAAAGACUGACGCUCAGGUGCGAAAGCGUGGGGAGCAAACAGGAUUAGAUACCCGCGUAGUCCCUGUCUCUUAUAC
rnacentral:rRNA from 1 species